rnacentral:rRNA from 1 species
GAUGAACGCUGGCGGCGUGCUUAACACGUGCAAGUCGAACGGAAAGGCCCAAGCUUGCUUGGGUACUCGAGUGGCGAACGGGUGAGUAACACGUGGGUGAUCUGCCCUGCACUUCGGGAUAAGCCUGGGAAACUGGGUCUAAUACCGGAUAGGACCACAUUUUGGAUGGUGUGGUGGAAAGUUUUUCGGUGUGGGAUGAGCUCGCGGCCUAUCAGCUUGUUGGUGGGGUAAUGGCCUACCAAGGCGUCGACGGGUAGCCGGCUUGAGAGGGUGUACGGCCACAUUGGGACUGAGAUACGGCCCAGACUCCUACGGGAGGCAGCAGUGGGGAAUAUUGCACAAUGGGCGCAAGCCUGAUGCAGCGACGCCGCGUGGGGGAUGACGGCCUUCGGGUUGUAAACUCCUUUCGCUAGGGACGAAGCGUUUUUGUGACGGUACCUGGAGAAGAAGCACCGGCUAACUACGUG